rnacentral:lncRNA from 1 species
AGCUUUUUUGUAUACUGGCCAGCCAGACCAGUGGACUUAAAAUCUACUGGUCCGGCUUAAAAUUUACUGGUUCUGCAAAAAUGACAUUCAUUUGAUAACCACUAAAAGAUAUGACGGAUGUUUAGUUUUAUUUUUUUUUUCUCAGCUGCUUUCCUCUUCUUUUUAUUUCAGUAGAUUUUUGUGCUGUUCUGUUUGUUCAUGAGCAAGUACAAAAUCUUUUUAAAAUUUUAAGAUCCCGUUACAAAAAUACAUUUCUCAUCUAGGUUUGUCACUGCAAAUUGUUCACAUGUUUUACAAUGCAUUACAUUACAAUCGACUUUACAAUUUAACCAUUCGAGAUCUUUUUCCCAGGAUAUUUUAUAUUUACGUUUUUUUUUGUCAGUUUGAAAAAUCUUCCUUUUGAAUGUCGCUUAAUUAAUUAAUUUGUUUUGCCCUGCGUUUUAACGCCAUUAAAAAAUUUCCACAUUUUGUGUUGUUGUGUAGUGCGCUCAUUUGAGAUAUUAAUUAAAUACUUUUAAAACAGUACCGCCAGUACCCUAAAAAUAAUUU